rnacentral:rRNA from 1 species
GACGAACCGAGCGAACGUUGUUCGGAAUCACUGGGCUUAAAGGGCGUGUAGGCGGCAACGCAAGUGUCGAGUGAAAUCCCAUCGCUCAACGAUGGAACGGCUCGGCAAACUGCGUGGCUUGAGGUCGGUAGAGGUGCUCGGAACUCUAGGUGGAGCGGUGAAAUGCGUAGAUAUCUAGAGGAACGCCUGAGGCGAAAGCGGGGCACUGGGCCGAUUCUGACGCUGAGACGCGAAAGCGUGGGGAGCAAACAGG